UGUUUAAGACAGACACGCCCCCUUCUGUAUUCUGUAAGGGUAUUCCCCGAAAUAUAAUGCGCAGCGUCGCCUGUCACGAUUAAUGGAGACCGUGUAGAACGAAAUACCAGACUCUUGUAUUUAACUUGUGUUGAUGUUCAUUGUUGACUUGAUGUUGGCCAAUUUUUCUUCAGUGAUUCAUUCUCCAGCUUAUGAAUGAGAUUCUGGAUGUUGACCACUGCAGAUGAGGAACUGGCAAGUGAAGAAAGCAUUGUUAAAAAAUUAUGACAAACACUUGAAACAUGGAGAAUAAAGAAGACACUACCAAUGUUGUGCCGGUAAAAGCUGAUCCAGUUUCUCCCAAAGAACUGGAUUCACCAAGUGAGGCUUCAUCCAGUGGGAUAUCUUCCCAGGAAGAAUUACCUGGUGGUAACCUGAAACAGGCUGCAGAGGAUGAUCCUGAUGAUGAAACGUACCAAACCCUGCUGCAACAAGGUCUGAAGACGUUCUCUGAGGGAUCGGAGGAAUCCUCCAGGAACCCGUCAAACGCAGGAUCCCCAGGCAGAGAUGGUGGCCAAGGAGGGGUCGGGGACGAGCGGGAGGUGGGGGAUGAUGUCAGGGACGGGGCCGGUGUUGUGGGUGCUAUGAGCAGUUCAGAAUCUGAGGAUAGCAGUCUAUCCAGUCUUGCGGAAGAACAACUUAAGAAGCCACUCCCUGAGUUGCUGAGCGAUGUAGCCAAAUUUUCCUAUUCUUCACUUGUAGCUGUAUGCCUGCCAAACCUCUUUGAAAAUGAGUGGAAUAAACAGUGGAAUCUGAAGAUGGUGAAGUCUCUGAGUAAAUAUCUUCAGCUUCCGAAGCAGUCUGGAGAGACCCUGUGUCACAUGGUCAAUGAUCCUAAUCAUCAUGAACUAGCCAAUGCAGACGUAUUUACAGAAGUGCUACUGGAGGACCCCUCUCUCAUCAAGCCAGAGAUAAUUCCAAAGGAUAUCAUCACCCAAGCGUUGAAUGAUGGGACCUACGAUGCUAGGAUGAGAGUUCUGGUGAGAGAGAUCUCUAAACGUCUUAACGUUAGCUGGAAGUUAAUCCGAGCGUUUGAAAAGGGAAUCAUCGAUGUCUAUGAACAAGAGGAACAUGAACUCACCGAAGAGGAGAAGAGAGAGCGAGACAAGAAAGCAAAGUUCAGGAAAGCUAAGCGGUACGUCAUGAUUGGAGCAGCAACAGUCGGAGGAGGAGCCAUCAUAGGCCUAACAGGAGGGUUAGCUGCCCCUCUCAUAGCAACGGCAGGAGCAGCGUUGCUGGGUACGAGUCUCAGUUUCUUUGGGACCGUAGCGGGGGCGGCGAUCAUCGGCUCAAUCCUAGGUGCCGCCGGAGCAGGGCUGUCAGGAUACAAAAUGAAGAAGCGAGUCGGGGAGGUAGAAGAGUUUGAAUUCACUGCUUUGACAGAAGGAAGGGAUCUCCACGUAACCGUUGCUGUCUCUGGUUGGCUGCAGAAAAAACAUCUAGAUAACUUCACCGUACCUUGGCGGUGUGUCGCGACCUGCAAUGAGAUCUACUGCUUGAAGUGGGAAUCAAAAUACUUGAUAGAGCUCGGUGAAGCACUGGAGUACAUUCUUGACACAGUCAUGACUAUGGCCGCCAAAGAGGCUCUUAAAUACACUGUUCUUUCAGGUCUGCUUGCAGCGAUAGCCCUACCAGCAGCAGCGUAUGCUGCCAUUUCAAAUUCAAUUGAUAAUCCAUGGAGCAUUGCUACUAGUAGGGCAAGUGAAGCAGGCAAGCAGCUAGCAGAGGUUCUGUUGUCAAGACAACAAGGUAAACGUCCAGUGACUUUGGUGGGCUUUAGCAUGGGGGCAAGGGUCAUAUUCUUCUGUCUGAAAGAGCUCUCUGUACGCAAGGGCAGUGAAGGAAUCGUACAAGAUGUCUACCUCUUGGGGGCGCCGGUCACAUCUUCCGUUGCCCAAUGGAGGCCUUUUGCCAGAGUAGUAGCUGGGCAUAUUGUGAAUGGCUUUUGCAGGGGUGAUUGGUUAUUACAGUUUGUGUACAGGACGGCAUCCAUGCAGGUCAGUGAUAUUGCUGGUUUAGAACCAGUUAGAUGGGACAACAGACGGAUGGUCAAUGUGGAUCUUACUGAUGUGGUCACAGGUCACCUAGACUACUCAGGCAAGAUAUCCACCAUCCUAGAUUACGUUGGCUUGGAAACCAAAGACAGCCCUACCUCUGGAAACCUCUCCGAUCUUACCAAGCCCAAAACCAAAGAUACAGAAAAGACCAGUGAGGACCAGGAACCCCUCGCCGUCAAGUUCGAUGCAAGCGAUCUUCUUCUGCCGAAGAGUGGGUCGGCGAUGGAUCUUGCCCUCUCUAAAUUGACAGUGUCAAAAGGUCAUUCACCGGAUGAGGUUUGUGUAGAUUUAUCCUCUCUAUUCAGACAUGACAAGCCAAAUUAUCGCUUUUUUAUGAAUGUAACUUUAAUAUGCACCUCUACUUGAGUUACAUUUUUAAUAAAAAUGUGUGUAGACAGACACGAGCAAUCCAAAUUUUAAAAAAAUGGACUAGUCCACAGCUUUUUUGUCCAAUCAUAUCCCAUUGACUUUGAUUUAUACAUAAAAUGGCUUUAGCAAUGGUCAUGUGAUGUUCCAAUAAAACUGUAUACCUUAAUGUGUGUGUGUACAUUCAUGUCACUUUGUUUAGAUUUGUUGAUUUUCUCCAUUCCUUGUUUUUCUUUUCUCUUUUACAAAAUGUAUUAAAAGCAUACAAGACAUGUCUGUCCAUGAAUUUAAAAAUGAAUAUGUUUGUGUUAGAGAAAUUAUUUUAGUACUUGAUUAAUUGAUUGAGUAAAUGCGAAUAGUCUGGAUUUUCCAUCUAGGACACAGACUCUAAGCCCAAGACGCUUGCCGAGAAUGUAGCCGCCUCCUGCUCGCCAGAAAAGGUUGCCAAGGAUAGAGGGAGCCCUUCUGUUGGACCGACAGCAACCGACAACAGUAGCUGCAAGGAUGAUGCCAACCAGACAAGGAAGGUAGCGUCGUCAGAAGAUGAAUCUUAUCGAGGAGUAGAAGGGGGUGCAGGAUUGAGGGAUGGUAGGAUUGAAGAUGAAGGAAGGAAAGAUACAGAGGAAAUGAACAGAGGUGGUGUGAGAAAAAGAGAGGAAAUUGAGGUUGGCGAGGAUCCACUGAGUCUUCUAUCAGAUUGAGAUGUGUGGUUGGAUUUACUCUCAGACCAGGAGGGUCAAGGGUCAAGCAGGGAACUCAGAAGGGGGUUGAUAUAAUCUGCUUGCAAAGGUACAUAUGAAUGACUGGUAUUCAAAGUGCCAAAGUGGUGAGCCCCGAAUUCAUGACUUUUUGAAAAUAUAGAUAAUAAAAUGGGAAGUGUGCGAAGGAGAGAUAAAAUAUGUUUGAAGUUAAUUUCAAACAUAAGGGCCAGGAGGGAAACUAUUAAGAGCCAAAUCUUAGAUGGUAACCAUUUAGUCUUGUUAUUAAACCAAUAGAUGUUGUUCAUGCCUCCAUCAUGAAACCAUGAUAUAUUUCUUUCUUGCCUUCCUCUAAAGUCAUUGUUAUUCAGUUGUAUGAUACAAAAUACCAAUUGCAGGGAUUUCCCCAUUCAAAUCAAGUCUUUCUUUACAUAUGUAUGUAAUGAUCACUAUUAUUCAAUGGUUUCGAAAAUAUGGGGCAAUUCUGGUAAUUUUAAGAUAAAUGUCAGUCGUGGUAACAAUUUAAAAAUGAGUUCGAACAGAAACCAAUGAAAGGACCAUCUGACUGUUUGUACACGUUUGCAUGAAUGAAGGAAAAUGUGUGCCAAAUGGAUUCUGUUAGAAAAUGUGUGUAAAUUGCUAUGAAAUGGACAAAAUAAGCAUGGCAUUCUGGCAAGAUAUAGAGUCUUUUUCUAAGUAAUAAUAAUACCUUGUCCCACAUGUGCUUAUCUGUGUUGGUGAUCUUCAGUGUGGUCAUUUCCAGUUUAGAUUUCAUGAUUUCACAGUUACAUACAUGAACCAGAUCCAUGAUGAUAUGAUGACAAUUCGGUGGAUUCCCAAUUUUGUGCGCCAUCAAUCGGUUGCAGCGGACAGACCAAAAUUUGCAAUGCCUCAUGGGAAAAAGUUGACAUUUGUUGCAUGCGCUAGUACUAAAGUGCAUGCACGUAUGCAAUUAUUCAGCGCUGGCCGACACGGCUCGACUGGAUAUGCUGUUUACUAGGGUCCAAGAGGUGGGAGAGAAAUUUGCCUGCAUAUUUCAGUGCGAAAUUUAGACCGUUUUUUGGUUAAUUCCUGCCAUAUGGUUUUCAUUUUUGAAGCAUCACAGUCACAUCCUGUGUGCGAUGUUGAUCGCAAAGUUAGACAAUUGGCCUAUUAUCUGCAACCGAUAGAUGGCACACCAUAUUGUGAAUCCACCAAAUUAUCCUUCUUUGUGAAAUUAUCCUUGAUUUGUUAAGACUCUCAUGAAAUAAGUCUUUGCUGCAACUCCAGCAUAUUUAGCUUUAAUUUUAUUAUUAGAUUUCAUUCAUGUUUAUGUUCUGUGCUACAAGAAGUAGAAAUUAAUGUUUGCACUGAAACAAAUCAAAUAUUUACAUACAAUGUACUUUGUUCCACUUGUCAGUACUGCACAGAAGGAGAAUCAACAAAUUUAAAUUCAAACUUCAAUUUCGAAACAAUGAGAAUCCUUUCAUAUACAAUGACAAACUACUGUUUUGAAUAUUUUGUGAUGUCUAUUUUGUGUUCGUACUCUUUAAGGUGUUUAUCAAAUCUCAAGAAUUCUUGGUUUUUCUUCACAUUUAGGUGAUUCUUAUAAAUGUAAAUAUAUUUUUUAGUCAGGCUGUGCAAUAUUUUCUACAAUGGUGUAAUUUUGAGGUUGUCUUUGAAAAUCUUGCUCCACAUUCUUUUUUGAAAUUUGUUUUUCAGUUUUUCAUCCAGUGACCAAAUGAACUUUCUCCAUUCUUGUGUCACUUUUUUGUUCUUAAAUGAAAAAAUAGAACUGUGCUGAAUUCUUUACUAUAUUUAAUGAUAUAAAUUGAAAACUGGAAAUAGAAUCAUUGCAGAGUUUUUUGUUCAAAAUUAUUUUUACUUAUAUUUUCUUCCAGACUUUUGUAAAACUGCUUUCAUCGAAAGUGUGCACCUUUAUGUUAAUUACAGUACUUUUUUGCAAGACUUUUUUUUAACAAAGUGGAAAGUAUCAUGAUGUUGUUUAGAAUCUGAAAUAAGUAAUGUCAGGUUGUGCUUUUUUAGUUGUUUGGAUGGAAAUAUCCAAUAUAAUUUUUGCUCAAAGAAAUUUUUAAACUCUACAAAUAUCUUUAUCACAUUCUAUCAUUGACAUGGUGGUGGGUUGGUAAUAAGAUAAAAUUUAUUUUACUAAAGCAUAUAGAGGAUUAGUAUAAUAUGUAUCUGAUAUUUCAUUGUAAUUAGUCUUGUGUAAUAUAAUUGGAAUUAAAUUAUUAAUUUU